UACGAACCGUACGAACGUUAUUCGGAAUCACUGGGCUUAAAGGGUGCGUAGGCGGCGCUGAAAGUUGGGUGUGAAAUCCCUCGGCUUAACCGAGGAACUGCGCUCAAAACUUCAGUGCUCGAGGGAGACAGAGGUGAGCGGAACUUAAGGUGGAGCGGUGAAAUGCGUUGAUAUCUUAAGGAACGCCGGUGGCGAAAGCGGCUCACUGGGUCUUUUCUGACGCUGAGGCACGAAAGCUAGGGUAGCGAACGGG
rnacentral:rRNA from 1 species